AUUCGGCUGUGGGGUGGGGCUGAGCUGGGCUCCUCCCCUCCCCAGACCCCAUUUAAGGGCUGGGAAGUGAAGGGGGCAGCAUCUGAACUUGGGAGUGCUUCCUUGAGGGUCUGAGGUGAGUCCUUUUGUAUGGGAGGGCUGUGAUCUCCCCCUUUCUUGGGGGAUCCUGGCCACAUUUUGAGGCUGGCAACCAUCUGUACUUGGAAACUGCUUCUUUUGGGGUGUGGGUGGCAGCAGAGAGCUGCAGCACUCCCGGGUUCUGUAACGACUGCACGGAGAGAUGUGCGGGUCUUCACGGGAACAGCAAGGAACCGAAAGCUGCAUUUCCUGGGAUGCCCUGGAACCCCACUUUGCUGACUGGUAAUUGUCUGCCCAGCAGGUGGCAGCAGAGAGCUGCAGCACUCCCGGGUUCUGUAACGACUGCACGGAGAGAUGUGCGGGUCUUCACGGGA
rnacentral:lncRNA from 1 species